rnacentral:rRNA from 1 species
UGCCAGCAGCCGCGGUAAUACGUACUGGGCGAACGUUAUUCGGAAUCAUUGGGCUUAAAGGGAGCGUAGGCGGUUUUGCAAGUCAGAAGUGAAAGGCUACGGCUCAACCGUAGUAAGCUUUUGAAACUGCAAGACUAGAGUGCAGGAGAGGCAAGUGGAAUUCCUAGUGUAGAGGUGAAAUUCGUAGAUAUUAGGAGGAACACCAGUGGCGAAGGCGACUUGCUGGACUGUAACUGACGCUGAGGCUCGAAAGCGUGGGGAGCGAACGGGAUUAGAUA